GACGAACGCUGGCGGCGUGCUUAACACAUGCAAGUCGAACGGUGAAGGGAUCAGCUUGCUGGUUCUGGAUGAGUGGCGAACGGGUGAGUAACACGUGAGUAACCUGCCCCCUUCUUCUGGAUAACCGCAUGAAAGUGUGGCUAAUACGGGAUAUUCUGCGCCUGCUGCAUGGUGGGUGUGGGAAAGAUAUUGUUUCGGUGGGGGAUGGGCUCGCGGCCUAUCAGCUUGUUGGUGGGGUGAUGGCCUACCAAGGCGGUGACGGGUAGCCGGCCUGAGAGGGGGGACGGUCACACGGGGACUGAGACACGGCCCAGACUCCUACGGGAGGCAGCAGUGGGGAAUAUUGCACAAUGGGCGCAAGCCUGAUGCAGCGACGCCGCGUGAGGGAUGGAGGCCUUCGGGUUGUGAACCUCUUUCGCCAGUGAAGCAGGCCUGUCCCUUGUGGGUGGGUUGACGGUAGCUGGAUAAGAAGCGCCGGCUAACUACGUG
rnacentral:rRNA from 1 species